UCCCUGGUGGCCCAGAUGGUAAAGAAUCUGCCUGCAAUGCAGGAGAACCCGGGUUCGAUCCCUGGAUAGGGAA
rfam:Ovis aries breed Texel chromosome 18, whole genome shotgun sequence.